rnacentral:misc_RNA from 1 species
GAACAUCCUUUCAUCAUCUGAGUGGGUGGUUAAGCAGGGUUUACUUUGUUAAUAAAUACAUCCAAUGAAUCAAGAGAAUGCAGAAGAGUGGUAGACACAGCUGAAUGGAUAAAAUAGAUUGACUUGGACUGCGGUUGGAUUAGCGGAGUUAGAAUUGAGAGGUCUUGGAGUGAACUUGUUAAAAGUCCCAGCAUGUUGAAUCUAAGGACUUUUUAAAAAUAAUCAUGGUUCAGACAAAGUUUUGUUGGUUAUGCAGUAGAUAUAUCCAAGUAGUGUUGUUU